GGUAUGGGGGAGGUUGGAUCAAACACAUUCACAUUACAUCUACACAGCCUUUACACUAGCCAGGUAUGGGGGAGGUUGGAUCAAACACAUUCACAUGACAUCUACACAGCCUUUACGCCAGCCAAUUAUGGGGGAGGUUGGAUCAAACACAUUCACAUGACAUCUACACAGCCUUUACGCCAGCCAGUUAUGGGGGAGGUUGGAUCAAACACAUUCACAUGACAUCUACACAGCCUUUACGCCAGCCAGUUAUGGGGGAGGUUGGAUCAAAACAUUCACAUGACAUCUACACAGCCUUUACGCCAGCCAGGUCUGGGAGGAUCAAACACAUUCACAUGACAUCUACACAGCCUUCACGCCAGCCAGGUAUGGGGGAGGUUGGAUCAAACACAUUCACAUGACAUCUACACAGCCUUUACGCCAGCCAGUUAUGGGGGAGGUUGGAUCAAACACAUUCACAUGACAUCUACACAGCCUUUACACUAGCCAGGUCUGGGAGGAUCAAACACAUUCACAUGACAUCUACACAGCUUU
ensembl:lncRNA